rnacentral:rRNA from 1 species
UACGGAGGGUGCGAGCGUUGUCCGGAAUCACUGGGCGUAAAGGGCGCGUAGGCGGCCUGAUAAGUAGGGGGUGAAAUCCUGCGGCUUAACCGCAGGGCUGCCUUCUAAACUGUCAGGCUAGAGCACAGUAGAGGCAGGUGGAAUUCCCGGUGUAGUGGUGGAAUGCGUAGAGAUCGGGAAGAACAUCAGUGGCGAAGGCGGCCUGCUGGGCUGUUGCUGACGCUGAGGCGCGACAGCGUGGGGAGCAAACAGG